rnacentral:rRNA from 1 species
GACGAACGCUGGCGGUGUGCUUAACACAUGCAAGUGGUGCGACGAACCAGAGCUUGCUCUGGGGCAAAGCCGCGAACGGGUGAGUAACACGUGGGUAAUCUACCCCGAUGACCGGGACAACCCGAGGAAACUCGGGCUAAUACCGGAUGUGGUACGGAGACAUAAGUCUCUUUACUAAAGGUAGCUUCGGCUUCCGCAUUGGGAGGGGCCCGCGGCCCAUUAGCUAGUUGGUGGGGUCAAGGCCUACCAAGGCAACGAUGGGUAGCUGGUCUGAGAGGACGAUCAGCCACACUGGGACUGAGACACGGCCCAGACUCCUACGGGAGGCAGCAGUGGGGAAUCUUGCGCAAUGCGCGAAAGCGUGACGCAGCAACACCGCGUGAGGGAAGACGGCCUUAGGGUUGUAAACCUCUUUCAGAUGGGACGAAGGUGAUGCGGUGAAUAGCCGAUGUCAUUGACGGUACCGUCAGAAGAAGCUCCGGCUAACUACGUGCCAGC